rnacentral:rRNA from 1 species
CUUACCGGGUCCGGACACACUGAGGAUUGACAGGCAAUAUAUGAUUCAGCUUUCGGGUUGUUUCAUUGUUAAAUAUGCUAGUCCUUUCAUGAUUAUGUGAUAGGUGGUGCAUGGCCGUUCUUAGUUCGUGGAGUGAUCUGUCUGCUUAAUUGCGUUUCACUUAAUUUAUAGGAUCUAAUAUUUUUACGAGUGAGUAGGUUUUGACCCACACUGCAUUUUAUUAUGUGGUGGUCCGUGCGUCAUUACAAU